rnacentral:rRNA from 1 species
UUUAUGGAGAGUUUGAUCCUGGCUCAGGAUGAACGCUGGCGGCGUGCCUAAUACAUGCAAGUCGAGCGAACGGACGAGAAGCUUGCUUCUCUGAUGUUAGCGGCGGACGGGUGAGUAACACGUGGAUAACCUACCUAUAAGACUGGGAUAACUUCGGGAAACCGGAGCUAAUACCGGAUAAUAUUUUGAACCGCAUGGUUCAAAAGUGAAAGACGGUCUUGCUGUCACUUAUAGAUGGAUCCGCGCUGCAUUAGCUAGUUGGUAAGGUAACGGCUUACCAAGGCAACGAUGCAUAGCCGACCUGAGAGGGUGAUCGGCCACACUGGAACUGAGACACGGUCCAGACUCCUACGGGAGGCAGCAGUAGGGAAUCUUCCGCAAUGGGCGAAAGCCUGACGGAGCAACGCCGCGUGAGUGAUGAAGGUCUUCGGAUCGUAAAACUCUGUUAUUAGGGAAGAACAUAUGUGUAAGUAACUGUGCACAUCUUGACGGUACCUAAUCAGAAAGCCACGGCUAACUACGUGCCAGCAGCCGCGGUAAUACGUAGGUGGCAAGCGUUAUCCGGAAUUAUUGGGCGUAAAGCGCGCGUAGGCGGUUUUUUAAGUCUGAUGUGAAAGCCCACGGCUCAACCGUGGAGGGUCAUUGGAAACUGGAAAACUUGAGUGCAGAAGAGGAAAGUGGAAUUCCAUGUGUAGCGGUGAAAUGCGCAGAGAUAUGGAGGAACACCAGUGGCGAAGGCGACUUUCUGGUCUGUAACUGACGCUGAUGUGCGAAAGCGUGGGGAUCAAACAGGAUUAGAUACCCUGGUAGUCCACGCCGUAAACGAUGAGUGCUAAGUGUUAGGGGGUUUCCGCCCCUUAGUGCUGCAGCUAACGCAUUAAGCACUCCGCCUGGGGAGUACGACCGCAAGGUUGAAACUCAAAGGAAUUGACGGGGACCCGCACAAGCGGUGGAGCAUGUGGUUUAAUUCGAAGCAACGCGAAGAACCUUACCAAAUCUUGACAUCCUUUGACAACUCUAGAGAUAGAGCUUUCCCCUUCGGGGACAAAGUGACAGGUGGUGCAUGGUUGUCGUCAGCUCGUGUCGUGAGAUGUUGGGUUAAGUCCCGCAACGAGCGCAACCCUUAAGCUUAGUUGCCAUCAUUAAGUUGGGCACUCUAAGUUGACUGCCGGUGACAAACCGGAGGAAGGUGGGGAUGACGUCAAAUCAUCAUGCCCCUUAUGAUUUGGGCUACACACGUGCUACAAUGGACAAUACAAAGGGCAGCGAAACCGUGAGGUCAAGCAAAUCCCAUAAAGUUGUUCUCAGUUCGGAUUGUAGUCUGCAACUCGACUACAUGAAGCUGGAAUCGCUAGUAAUCGUAGAUCAGCAUGCUACGGUGAAUACGUUCCCGGGUCUUGUACACACCGCCCGUCACACCACGAGAGUUUGUAACACCCGAAGCCGGUGGAGUAACCUUUUAGGAGCUAGCCGUCGAAGGUGGGACAAAUGAUUGGGGUGAAGUCGUAACAAGGUAGCCGUAUCGGAAGGUGCGGCUGGAUCACCUCCUUUCUA